rnacentral:lncRNA from 1 species
CCAGACUACUGAAAGCAUGCCCGAGAGUCAGGGUGGCAGCCCAGGGGACACUUGUUCAAAUUCUAUAUCUAUGUUCAAAUUCUAUCCCUCUUUCUUUCUUGCUGUGUGAUCUUGAAUGACCUCUUCGUGGUGUCUCCAUUUCUACAUUGAUGAAAAGCAGGGUCUAGAAUACAGGAAAGAUGAACGGCUUGCUCCGGAACAUCACCUGCCAGCCUGGUUCUGGAACAGCUCUGUACCUGCCAGGAGGCCACGGUGGCAGCUGGAUCCAGUGCUCAGGAGGGUGGAUGCUGGGGGUUCCCCAGGAUGCCUGGGCCUCCCCACUAAGCAGAUGAAUAGAAACACAGUCCUGCC